rnacentral:rRNA from 1 species
GGGUUGUGAGGUUAAGCGACUAAGCGUACACGGUGGAUGCCCUGGCAGUCAGAGGCGAUGAAGGACGUGCUAAUCUGCGAAAAGCGUCGGUAAGGUGAUAUGAACCGUUAUAACCGGCGAUGUCCGAAUGGGGAAACCCAGUGCAAUUCGUUGCACUAUCGUUAACUGAAUACAUAGGUUAACGAGGCGAACCGGGGGAACUGAAACAUCUAAGUACCCCGAGGAAAAGAAAUCAACCGAGAUUCCCCCAGUAGCGGCGAGCGAACGGGGAGCAGCCCAGAGUCUGAAUCAGCUUGUGUGUUAGUGGAACGGUCUGGAAAGUCCGACGGUACAGGGUGAUAGUCCCGUACACCAAAAUGCACAGGUUGUGAACUCGAAGAGUAGGGCGGGACACGUGGUAUCCUGUCUGAAUAUGGGGGGACCAUCCUCCAAGGCUAAAUACUCCUGACUGACCGAUAGUGAACCAGUACCGUGAGGGAAAGGCGAAAAGAACCCCGGCGAGGGGAGUGAAAAAGAACCUGAAACCGUGUACGUACAAGCAGUGGGAGCACCUUCGGGUGUGACUGCGUACCUUUUGUAUAAUGGGUCAGCGACUUAUAUUCUGUAGCAAGGUUAACCGUAUAGGGGAGCCGCAGGGAAACCGAGUCUUAACUGGGCGUUAAGUUGCAGGGUAUAGACCCGAAACCCGGUGAUCUAGCCAUGGGCAGGUUGAAGGUUGGGUAACACUAACUGGAGGACCGAACCGACUAAUGUUGAAAAAUUAGCGGAUGACUUGUGGCUGGGGGUGAAAGGCCAAUCAAACCGGGAGAUAGCUGGUUCUCCCCGAAAGCUAUUUAGGUAGCGCCUCGUGAACUCAUCUUCGGGGGUAGAGCACUGUUUCGGCUAGGGGGUCAUCCCGACUUACCAACCCGAUGCAAACUACGAAUACCGAAGAAUGUUAUCACGGGAGACACACGGCGGGUGCUAACGUCCGUCGUGAAGAGGGAAACAACCCAGACCGCCAGCUAAGGUCCCAAAGUCAUGGUUAAGUGGGAAACGAUGUGGGAAGGCACAGACAGCCAGGAUGUUGGCUUAGAAGCAGCCAUCAUUUAAAGAAAGCGUAAUAGCUCACUGGUCGAGUCGGCCUGCGCGGAAGAUGUAACGGGGCUAAACCAUGCACCGAAGCUGCGGCAGCGACACUAUGUGUUGUUGGGUAGGGGAGCGUUCUGUAAGCCUGCGAAGGUGUGCUGUGAGGCAUGCUGGAGGUAUCAGAAGUGCGAAUGCUGACAUAAGUAACGAUAAAGCGGGUGAAAAGCCCGCUCGCCGGAAGACCAAGGGUUCCUGUCCAACGUUAAUCGGGGCAGGGUGAGUCGACCCCUAAGGCGAGGCCGAAAGGCGUAGUCGAUGGGAAACAGGUUAAUAUUCCUGUACUUGGUGUUACUGCGAAGGGGGGACGGAGAAGGCUAUGUUAGCCGGGCGACGGUUGUCCCGGUUUAAGCAUGUAGGCUGAUUAUCCAGGCAAAUCCGGAUAAUCAAGGCUGAGGUGUGAUGACGAGGCACUACGGUGCUGAAGUAACAAAUGCCCUGCUUCCAGGAAAAGCCUCUAAGCAUCAGGUAACAUCAAAUCGUACCCCAAACCGACACAGGUGGUCAGGUAGAGAAUACCAAGGCGCUUGAGAGAACUCGGGUGAAGGAACUAGGCAAAAUGGUGCCGUAACUUCGGGAGAAGGCACGCUGGUGUGUAGGUGAAGCCCCUGCGGGUGGAGCUGAGACCAGUCGAAGAUACCAGCUGGCUGCAACUGUUUAUUAAAAACACAGCACUGUGCAAACACGAAAGUGGACGUAUACGGUGUGACGCCUGCCCGGUGCCGGAAGGUUAAUUGAUGGGGUUAUCCGUAAGGAGAAGCUCUUGAUCGAAGCCCCGGUAAACGGCGGCCGUAACUAUAACGGUCCUAAGGUAGCGAAAUUCCUUGUCGGGUAAGUUCCGACCUGCACGAAUGGCGUAAUGAUGGCCAGGCUGUCUCCACCCGAGACUCAGUGAAAUUGAACUCGCUGUGAAGAUGCAGUGUACCCGCGGCAAGACGGAAAGACCCCGUGAACCUUUACUAUAGCUUGACACUGAACAUUGAGCCUUGAUGUGUAGGAUAGGUGGGAGGCUUUGAAGCGUGGACGCCAGUCUGCGUGGAGCCAACCUUGAAAUACCACCCUUUAAUGUUUGAUGUUCUAACGUUGGCCCCUGACCGGGGUUGCGGACAGUGUCUGGUGGGUAGUUUGACUGGGGCGGUCUCCUCCCAAAGCGUAACGGAGGAGCACGAAGGUUAGCUAAUCCUGGUCGGACAUCAGGAGGUUAGUGCAAUGGCAUAAGCUAGCUUGACUGCGAGCGUGACGGCGCGAGCAGGUGCGAAAGCAGGUCAUAGUGAUCCGGUGGUUCUGAAUGGAAGGGCCAUCGCUCAACGGAUAAAAGGUACUCCGGGGAUAACAGGCUGAUACCGCCCAAGAGUUCAUAUCGACGGCGGUGUUUGGCACCUCGAUGUCGGCUCAUCACAUCCUGGGGCUGAAGUAGGUCCCAAGGGUAUGGCUGUUCGCCAUUUAAAGUGGUACGCGAGCUGGGUUUAGAACGUCGUGAGACAGUUCGGUCCCUAUCUGCCGUGGGCGCUGGAGAAUUGAGGGGGGCUGCUCCUAGUACGAGAGGACCGGAGUGGACGCAUCACUGGUGUUCGGGUUGUCAUGCCAAUGGCACUGCCCGGUAGCUAAAUGCGGAAGAGAUAAGUGCUGAAAGCAUCUAAGCACGAAACUUGCCCCGAGAUGAGUUCUCCCUGAGACUUUAAGUCUCCUGAAGGAACGUUGAAGACGACGACGUUGAUAGGCCGGGUGUGUAAGCGCAGCGAUGCGUUGAGCUAACCGGUACUAAUGAACCGUGAGGCUUAACCUUACAACGCCGAAG